rnacentral:lncRNA from 1 species
GUCUGUGCGUCCUUCCGUCUGUGCGUCUGUUCGUCCGUCCGUCCCAUUUCAGGUUAAAGUUUUUGGUCAAGGUAGUUUUUGAAGAAGCUAAAGUCCAAUCAACUUGAAAUCACCGUGAGCACCUGAGAUCACCCCAAGUUUUUGGUGGGGUUCGUGUUGUUUAUUCUUUAGUUUUCUAUGUUGUGUCGUGUGUACUAUUGUUUUUCUGUUUGUCUUUUUCAUUUUUAGCCAUGGC